GGAAGUAUUAUAUUGACAGGAACUACAACGAUUUAUUAGCACUUAUUUAUAACCCGGGGAGCUCUGUAGAAAAGAUAUGGAAACUGACUAAUUAGUAUGUUAUCGUUAAUAGCCCUUUGUGACCAUGUGCGAUGCCGCCGUCCUAAACUGACCAGACAUACUUCUUAUCAUCACGUGGUUUUUAUUGCGAAAGGUUAUCUCUAAUACCUGUCGGAAAACCCCUUUGUUUAUUUCAAUCUCGUCUGUGGUCUUUCAGAAUUAUUCAAUUUUUCAAAACAAAUCGACUGAUGUACAAAACAAGAAAAUCGGACGAGAACUUUGAAUACUACAACGUUUUGA
rnacentral:lncRNA from 1 species